GAGCCCAGAGCCUGAAUCAGUGUGUGUGUUAGUGGAAGCGUCUGGAAAGGCGCGCGAUACAGGGUGACAGCCCCUUACACAAAAUUGCACAUGCUGUGUGCUCGAUGAGUAGGGCGGGACACGUGGUAUCCUGUCUGAAUAUGGGGGGACCAUCCUCCAAGGCUAAAUACUCCUGACUGACCGAUAGUGAACCAGUACCGUGAGGGAAAGGCGAAAAGAACCCCGGCGAGGGGAGUGAAAAAGAACCUGAAACCGUGUACGUACAAGCAGUGGGAGCACAGAGCAAUCUGUGUGACUGCGUACCUUUUGUAUAAUGGGUCAGCGACUUAUAUUCUGUAGCAAGGUUAACCGAAUAGGGGAGCCGAAGGGAAACCGAGUCUUAACCGGGCGUUAAGUUGCAGGGUAUAGACCCGAAACCCGGUGAUCUAGCCAUGGGCAGGUUGAAGGUUGGGUAACACUAACUGGAGGACCGAACCGACUAAUGUUGAAAAAUUAGCGGAUGACUUGUGGCUGGGGGUGAAAGGCCAAUCAAACCGGGAGAUAGCUGGUUCUCCCCGAAAGCUAUUUAGGUAGCGCCUCGUGAAUUCAUCUCCGGGGGUAGAGCACUGUUUCGGCAAGGGGGUCAUCCCGACUUACCAACCCGAUGCAAACUGCGAAUACCGGAGAAUGUUAUCACGGGAGACACACGGCGGGUGCUAACGUCCGUCGUGAAGAGGGAAACAACCCAGACCGCCAGCUAAGGUCCCAAAGUCAUGGUUAAGUGGGAAACGAUGUGGGAAGGCCCAGACAGCCAGGAUGUUGGCUUAGAAGCAGCCAUCAUUUAAAGAAAGCGUAAUAGCUCACUGGUCGAGUCGGCCUGCGCGGAAGAUGUAACGGGGCUAAACCAUGCACCGAAGCUGCGGCAGCGACACUGUGUGUUGUUGGGUAGGGGAGCGUUCUGUAAGCCUGUGAAGGUGUGCUGUGAGGCAUGCUGGAGGUAUCAGAAGUGCGAAUGCUGACAUAAGUAACGAUAAAGCGGGUGAAAAGCCCGCUCGCCGGAAGACCAAGGGUUCCUGUCCAACGUUAAUCGGGGCAGGGUGAGUCGACCCCUAAGGCGAGGCCGAAAGGCGUAGUCGAUGGGAAACAGGUUAAUAUUCCUGUACUUGGUGUUACUGCGAAGGGGGGACGGAGAAGGCUAUGUUGGCCGGGCGACGGUUGUCCCGGUUUAAGCGUGUAGGCUGGUUUUCCAGGCAAAUCCGGAAAAUCAAGGCUGAGGCGUGAUGACGAGGCACUACGGUGCUGAAGCAACAAAUGCCCUGCUUCCAGGAAAAGCCUCUAAGCAUCAGGUAACAUCAAAUCGUACCCCAAACCGACACAGGUGGUCAGGUAGAGAAUACCAAGGCGCUUGAGAGAACUCGGGUGAAGGAACUAGGCAAAAUGGUGCCGUAACUUCGGGAGAAGGCACGCUGAUAUGUAGGUGAAGUCCCUCGCGGAUGGAGCUGAAAUCAGUCGAAGAUACCAGCUGGCUGCAACUGUUUAUUAAAAACACAGCACUGUGCAAACACGAAAGUGGACGUAUACGGUGUGACGCCUGCCCGGUGCCGGAAGGUUAAUUGAUGGGGUCAGCGCAAGCGAAGCUCUUGAUCGAAGCCCCGGUAAACGGCGGCCGUAACUAUAACGGUCCUAAGGUAGCGAAAUUCCUUGUCGGGUAAGUUCCGACCUGCACGAAUGGCGUAAUGAUGGCCAGGCUGUCUCCACCCGAGACUCAGUGAAAUUGAACUCGCUGUGAAGAUGCAGUGUACCCGCGGCAAGACGGAAAGACCCCGUGAACCUUUACUAUAGCUUGACACUGAACAUUGAGCCUUGAUGUGUAGGAUAGGUGGGAGGCUUUGAAGUGUGGACGCCAGUCUGCAUGGAGCCGACCUUGAAAUACCACCCUUUAAUGUUUGAUGUUCUAACGUGGACCCGUGAUCCGGGUUGCGGACAGUGUCUGGUGGGUAGUUUGACUGGGGCGGUCUCCUCCUAAAGAGUAACGGAGGAGCACGAAGGUUGGCUAAUCCUGGUCGGACAUCAGGAGGUUAGUGCAAUGGCAUAAGCCAGCUUGACUGCGAGCGUGACGGCGCGAGCAGGUGCGAAAGCAGGUCAUAGUGAUCCGGUGGUUCUGAAUGGAAGGGCCAUCGCUCAACGGAUAAAAGGUACUCCGGGGAUAACAGGCUGAUACCGCCCAAGAGUUCAUAUCGACGGCGGUGUUUGGCACCUCGAUGUCGGCUCAUCACAUCCUGGGGCUGAAGUAGGUCCCAAGGGUAUGGCUGUUCGCCAUUUAAAGUGGUACGCGAGCUGGGUUUAGAACGUCGUGAGACAGUUCGGUCCCUAUCUGCCGUGGGCGCUGGAGAACUGAGGGGGGCUGCUCCUAGUACGAGAGGACCGGAGUGGACGCAUCACUGGUGUUCGGGUUGUCAUGCCAAUGGCACUGCCCGGUAGCUAAAUGCGGAAGAGAUAAGUGCUGAAAGCAUCUAAGCACGAAACUUGCCCCGAGAUGAGUUCUCCCUGACCCUUUAAGGGUCCUGAAGGAACGUUGAAGACGACGACGUUGAUAGGCCGGGUGUGUAAGCGCAGCGAUGCGUUGAGCUAACCGGUACUAAUGAACCGUGAGGCUUAACCUU
rnacentral:rRNA from 1 species